UCAACAAUAACAAAGAUUUGGUCUACAUUUUGCAAAUUAUUUUCGAGUCAUCUUAAGGGGUUAUUUUACUACUUGAUUUAUAACAAUUGAAGUCCAUGGAGUCUAUUUGCAUUAACUAUUGGAUUGGCGCACACCAAAGCGACGCUCUCUGCCCUUUCCCCAUAGUUCCGAUGCAGUGGAGAUGGUGGUUAAGCCGGUCAGACAAAGGUAAAGAAGGAAUAGAAAUCAGUUGAAGACAGCUCCAGCCACGACAAGUUCCUCACCGCAAGGGAAAAGGAGUCUGCAGAUCAGAUGGAAAGGGAACAGAGGCGAGCGAAAGGUAAAAAAAAAUCAAUGGAUCCCAACAGUGAGCCCUGACCAGAGCACAUUGAGGUAGAUGUUCGAUUGACACUAGCAAGCAAGAAGGUCCCAGCAACCGCACUCCCAUCGAAAUCCAGGAACUGUGUUGUUGAUGCAAUCGCCAUUGAGAACAGUUAGGAUGUACUAGCAGAUUCCAAGGAAGAAAGGAAGUUCCAUCGCGACAGAGGCACAAGCCAUCAGUGUGUUCAACAAAUCAAAUCUUAAUGUUAAUGGGGAACCCAAAUUCGUUAACAAUUCCAUCGACGGCGGUGUGCUCUCUAUCUGUAUUUACAUAUGUAUGUGCGUGCUGUUGAUCUGUAAACUUGU